AGACACACAGAGGUAAAACAUCCCCACAAUGCAUCCUAACUUCCCUCCCUCUGUCCUGGAGACUAUUGGGAAGUAAUCCAAUCAUCUCCCAGGACAGAGGCAAAACUCCAUUAACCACAUGGCAGUAAAAGACAGUGAAAGACAUAAAAAUGUAUAAAGUUACAACUGUUGCACAAAACAUAUACAUUCUACCUAUCCCCAGAUAGCUUAGAUCUGAGCGAACAGAAGUAC